rnacentral:rRNA from 1 species
GACGAACGCUGGCGGCGUGCCUAAUACAUGCAAGUCGAACGGUCUUUUCUAUGGAAGCUUGCUUCCACUGAGAAGAUAGUGGCGAACGGGUGAGUAACACGUGGGUAACCUGCCCAUAAGAGGGGGAUAACAUCCGGAAACGGGUGCUAAUACCGCAUAGGUUUCUUGGUCGCAUGAUCGAGAAAGGAAAGACGGCCUUUGUGCUGUCGCUUAUGGAUGGACCCGCGGCGUAUUAGUUAGUUGGCGGGUAACGGCCCACCAAGGCGACGAUGCGUAGCCGACCUGAGAGGUGACCGGCCACACUGGAACUGAGACACGGCCCAGACU